rnacentral:pre_miRNA from 1 species
GUGAGGACUCGGGAGGUGGAGGGUGGCAUCGCCAGGACCGGGGCGCUGUCUCAGCCGGCUUCUCCCCCCACCUCCUCUCUCCUCAG